UACGUAGGCAGCAAGCGUUGUUCGGAAUUACUGGGCGUAAAGCGUGCGCAGGCGGCUUUGCAAGACAGAUGUGAAAUCCCCGGGCUCAACCUGGGAACUGCAUUUGUGACUGCAAGGCUAGAGUACGGUAGAGGGGGAUGGAAUUCCGCGUGUAGCAGUGAAAUGCGUAGAUAUGCGGAGGAACACCGAUGGCGAAGGCAAUCCCCUGGACCUGUACUGACGCUCAUGCACGAAAGCGUGGGGAGCAAACAGG
rnacentral:rRNA from 1 species